CCAAACUUGGUCAUUUAGAGGAAGUAAAAGUCGUAACAAGGUUUCCGUAGGUGAACCUGCGGAAGGAUCAUUAUUGAAUUUAUUCUCUAUCUAUGUGCACCAAAAUCCUGAGACUUGAUCGCAUUUUGUGCGUCUUGACUCAAUAUUUUUUCUACUUUUAAAAAAUGAUGUUUGAUGAUAUUAUAAUACUUUAAAAUAAGUAUAAUACAACUUUUAGCAACGGAUCUCUUGGUUCUCGCAUCGAUGAAGAACGCAGC
rnacentral:misc_RNA from 1 species